CAAUAUGGAUCCCAGAACUUUAAACCAUAAACAACGUUUUGAGUACCAAAUACCAAACAGUGAUAAUUCAUUAAAGUGUUCCGAUAAAGUUCAACAAUAUCGGUAUGGGAUCUGGUGAGAAAUAGUCACAAUAUAAAAUCACUGUAUGUGGAAUGGUUAGCUUUUUUAUUCGUGCAACCCAGUUGUACACGUGCAAUUCACUGUAUAUUACCUUUAUUUGACUGUUCGGGAAAUAGUUGUUUUGCAUUGUUUGUGAGUGAUUUUUAUUGUACAAGCUGAAAAAUUAGGACGAUUGUGACGCUAACCAGGUCGUUAUACAAUUUUAUACUGAUGUUAAAAGUUCUUGAAAUUUUCACAAAAAACUCCAGAUAAUUCAGAACAACGCACAAUUUGUGUUGUUUCACUUAUUGUGACGAAAUGACAAUGUUUUUUGUCGCUGUGUGAAAAAUAUUUACUGUGCAUUUUUUUUAGCGUGCUUGUCUUUUCACCGUCUGUCAACAAACAAAACGAUAAAAAAAUAAAUGAAACGAAAAUCACCGUUCUGUGUUAGUUUUAAAGUUCCUUAAAUUUGCUUAAGUUUCCGACUUCUUGCGUUUGCAGAUCAAUAACAGCAGAAUCGCGACGCUACAACGAUUAAAAGGAGCAAAAAAGUUCCUGUAAGCAUCGUGAAAUGGCGAUGUAAUUUUCGUCGGAAAUUCCGGAAUUGGAACGCAAUCGGAAAAUGGCGCCGUCGGUGUCGGUGAUAAAAGCCUAUCAAGAAAUGGAUUCGUUCACACAUCGAACAGGGAUGAAAUAUGACCCGUAGACUCAGCCCUGAUGCCACCAACAUACGAAAACACCAGUAGGACUAGCAGCUGCGGAAUUGGUUUUAGUGAAACCUGGAACUAAGACAGUACAAGUAGAUGUGGGGUUAAAGCUUAUCCCAAGAAAAAUGGGAGAUAUUUUUUAACUGAAGUAAUUAAGUGAUGUAUGUCGAAUAGUAAUAUAAAAUAAUAAUUAUAAUAGUAUUAACAAUAA